rnacentral:rRNA from 1 species
GCGCAGCAGGCGAGAAACCUCCGCAAUACACGAAAGUGUGACGGGGCCAUCCCGAGUGCCGUCCGCUGAGGACGGCUUUUCCCCAGUGUACACAGCUGGGGGAAUAAGGAGAGGGCAAGCCUGGUGUCAGCCGCCGCGGUAAUACCAGCUCUCCGAGUGGUGGGGACGCUUAUUGGGCCUAAAGCAUCCGUAGCCGGCUGGGCAAGUCCUCCGUUAAAUCCAACGAUUCAAUCGUUGGGCUGCGGGGGAUACUGUCCAGCUUGGGGGCGGGAGAGGCCGACGGUAUUCCCGGGGUAGGGGUGAAAUCCUAUAAUCCCGGGAGGACCACCAGUGGCGAAGGCUGUCGGCUAGAACGCGCCCGACGGUGAGGGAUGAAAGCGUGGGGGAGCGAACCGGAUUAGAUACCCCUGUAGU